AUUAACGCUGGCGGCGUGCCUAAUACAUGCAAGUCGAGCGAACAGACGAGGAGCUUGCUCCUCUGAUGUUAGCGGCGGACGGGUGAGUAACACGUGGAUAACCUACCUAUAAGACUGGGAUAACUUCGGGAAACCGGAGCUAAUACCGGAUAACAUGUUGAACCGCAUGGUUCAACAGUGAAAGACGGUCUUGCUGUCACUUAUAGAUGGAUCCGCGCCGCAUUAGCUAGUUGGUAAGGUAACGGCUUACCAAGGCAACGAUGCGUAGCCGACCUGAGAGGGUGAUCGGCCACACUGGAACUGAGACACGGUCCAGACUCCUACGGGAGGCAGCAGUAGGGAAUCUUCCGCAAUGGGCGAAAGCCUGACGGAGCAACGCCGCGUGAGUGAAGAAGGUCUUCGGAUCGUAAAACUCUGUUAUUAGGGAAGAACAAAUGUGUAAGUAACUAUGCACGUCUUGACGGUACCUAAUCAGAAAGCCACGGCUAACUACGUG
rnacentral:rRNA from 1 species